rnacentral:misc_RNA from 1 species
CCCAACUUUUUUCCUUUUCAAGUCUUGCAGUUACUUUAAUCUCAUUGCUAUUCUUAAUCGGAAAAUUCUUGGCUCUCGCUCUUCUAUUUUUUCUCUGUCUUUGCUUCUUUCAACACAUACGAUUUAUAUAUAUACCCACUUCCCCCUCUUGUUGUUUUUUAUAUGUUUCUCAUGAUCUCUUAGCACAUACCCAGAAACCAGCAUAGAUCAUACAAGCAGAAGAGAGGAGAACAGAGAAGAGAAAGAGAUUAUUGGUGUGGAAAAGAUUUGAGAAGAAGGUUGGGAUUGUUUUGCUGGUUGCAAAAAAUGGCUGUACAAGCGCAGUUCCCUUUGUGCGGCUCACAGGAUUGGAUGGAGAAUGGUUGUG